rnacentral:tRNA from 1 species
GUGGCACACCGUAGGCUGUGGGAGCGUGACUGUAAAUCACUACUCUGAGAGUUCGAAUCUCUCGUGCCACACCA